AAACUUACCUGAUGCAGGGAGUGCCGACGAUCACGAAGGUCGGCUCCCAGGACUGAGGUCUCCCUUGCACUUUUCGGGGGCUGACGUCCGCCUCUCUCUCCAAAGUGGAGAUUGAAGGGGCAUCAAAUUUUUGGUAGUGGGGAGACUUGGCGUGCGCGCCUCUCCCCU